GAUGAAGAACGUAGCGAAAUGCGAUACUUGGUGUGAAUUGCAGAAUCCCGUGAACCAUCGAGUCUUUGAACGCAAGUUGCGCCCGAAGCCACUAGGCCGAGGGCACGCCUGCCUGGGCGUCACACGCCGUUGCCCCCCCAUCUACUCCUUCGGGAUUGCGGGGGGGCGGAUGAUGGCCUCCCGUGCGCCUAGCCGCGCGGUUGGCAUAAAUACCAAGUCCUCGGCGACGCACGCCACGACAAUCGGUGGUUGCGAAACCUCGGUUGCCCGUCGUGUGCGUUCGUCGCGCAUCGAGGGCUCGAAAAAAUGCUCGGCUCCGGCUGGGCUUUCAACGCGACCCCAGGUCAGGCGGGGUUACCCGCUGAAUUUAAGCAUAUCAAAAGCGGAGGA
rnacentral:misc_RNA from 1 species